UUUAAGCGCAGUUGUGAGUUUAUACGUUCAACAUUUGACCGUACAUCUUAUUUAAAAUUUUUGUGUAAGUAGUAUUUUUGUUAUAUUAGAUGAUAAAAAUAAAUAGUACUCUAUGCAUGAUUUUUUUUUCAAAUAAGACGGAUGGUCAAAUGUUGGACACGGAAAACCAUAUCUGCACUUAAA
rfam:Oryza barthii chromosome 3, whole genome shotgun sequence.